rnacentral:snoRNA from 1 species
AAACUGGAAGAUGAGGAGAUAGCGUCCUACAUCCUCGCAGGGCUUGACAUGGAUUUUAAUCCUGUCGUGUCCUCCAUCUCUGCACGCGUCGAGCCAUUGACGCUUGCUGAGCUCUAACCCAGCUUGUGAGCUGGGA